GACAGAGGUGCCGAGCGUUUAGGCGGAAUCACUGGGCUUAAAAGCGUGUGUAGGCGGACCCCGUCAGUGUCUUGUGAAAUCCCCCCGGCUCAACCGGGGGAACGGCUGGGCAUACUGCGGGUCUUGAGACACCUAGGGGCGAGCGGAACAGGCGGUGGAGCGGUGAAAUGCGUAGAUAUCGCCUGGAACGCCGACGGUGAAAACAGCUCGCUGGGGGCUGCGCUGACGCUGAGACACGAAAGCCAGGGGAGCGAACGGG
rnacentral:rRNA from 1 species